rnacentral:rRNA from 2 species
CUGAUGCAGCCAUGCCGCGUGUGUGAAGAAGGCCUUCGGGUUGUAAAGCACUUUCAGCGAGGAGGAAAGGUUGGUAGCUAAUAACUGCCAGCUGUGACGUUACUCGCAGAAGAAGCACCGGCUAACUCCGUGCCAGCAGCCGCGGUAAUAC